rnacentral:lncRNA from 1 species
GGAGGCCCGCCUGAAGAAGAAUGCAGAUACCCUCUGGGGAAUCCAGAAGGAGCUGCAGUUCUAAAGUCUCCCCAGUGUCCUAGCCCUUCACUGUCCAGGCUGCAGCAGGGUUUCUAUGGAGACCACACACUUCUCAUCUGAGCUGUAGUUAGUCCAGUUGUGUUGAGGUGGUCUGGGGAAAAUCUCAGUUCCACAGCUCUACCCUGCUAAGUGGUACUUGUGUAGUGGUAACCUGGUUAGUGUGACAUCCCACUGUCUCCAAGACACACUGCCAACUGCAUGCAGGCUUUGAUUACCCUGUGAGCCUGCUGCAUUGCUGUGCUACGCACCCUCACCAAACAUGCCUAGGCCAUGAGUUCCCAGUUAGUCAUAACCUGGCUCCAGUGUGUAAGUCCAUCAUGCAUAUCUUGUGCAUAAAUGUUCUACAGGAUAUUUUCUGUAUUAUAUGUGUCUGUAGUGUACAUUGCAAUAUUAUGUGAAAUGUAAGAUCUGCAUAUGGAUGACGGAACCAACCACUCAAGUGUCAUGCCAAGAAAAACACCAAAUAAACCUUGAACAGUGAAAAAAAUCAAACUAAAGCAAAACAAAAU